ACCUGGUUGAUCCUGCCAGUAGUCAUAUGCUUGUCUCAAAGAUUAAGCCAUGCAAGUGUAAGUUCACGUCACGAUUAAGAAUGGUCGAAACCGCGAAUGGCUCAGGAACCGGAUCUAAUCCUCGGGAUCGUAUACAUAUCCUCCUUUAUGGAGGAAGUCGAUUGGAUAACUGUGGUAAUUCUAGAGCUAAUACAUGCAACUAAAGCCAUGAUCGUCGAAUGGUAAUUAAUAAUGUUGUCGGUUAAUACAACAACUGUCGUUUUGGUGUCGUUGUUGGUGUCGUUGUUGGUCGUCGUCGUCGUCGUCGUUGUCGUUCGUUUCUGUGUCUAGUCGGCAUCAGUUUAUCGUUCGUCUUCGUUCGUCGUCGUCGUUGUCGUCUUCUUCAUCGAUAGCAGCAUCGUUGGAGUAAUGUAGUUUCAAUUUUCAAUUUAUUAUUCCGUUCGUAGUAAGUGAUCGCGGCGCAACAUAUUAGACUGAGACCGAUGCGUUUUGUAGUUCGUUCGUCGUCGUCGUAGGCACGUGCGCGCGCGGCAUCUGAAAAUGCGCGUUGGCUUGUAGAAAAAGUAUGAAUUUAUUCAACUCCAAUACACAAUGUCUUCGUUUCUUUUCAUGAUGUUUUCCGUCGUCGUGCUCGUUGUCGUUGUCGUCUUCGUCGUUGUCGUUUCUACGCGCGCUCGCUAUUUUGGUGACUCUGGAUAACACAAUUGUCGAUCGCUAUGGAUGAUAUUCGUUUCUUUUGUUUCGUAAAAUUACCCGGCGACGGAUCCUCCGUGGGUCCGCCCUAUCAACUGUCGACGGUCGGAUAAUUGCCUACCGUGGUUGCCACGGGUAACGGGGAAUCAGGGUUCGAUUCCGGAGAGGGAGCAUGCGAAACGGCUACCACAUCCAAGGAAGGCAGCAGGCGCGCAAAUUACCCACUCCCGGCACGGGGAGGUAGUGACGAAAAAUAACGACGCGGGACUCUGUCGAGGCCCCGCGAUCGGAAUGAAUACACCUCAAAUCCGUUAAUGAGGAUCAACCGGAGGGCAAGUCUGGUGCCAGCAGCCGCGGUAAUUCCAGCUCCGGUAGCGUAUAUUAAAUUUGUUGCGGUUAAAAAGCUCGUAGUCCGAAUUCGGGUCUAAACAAAAAAAAACGUUUGCAAAAACGUUUCGGGGCGUCGGCGCCAUUGUUUCUUUUAUUCGAACUUUGGUUGUAAUUAUUUUCUUUUUUUUUUUUCCGUUCGCACACCCGGCCCUAUCCGCCGGUACGUAUAAAGGAAAAAAAAAGUGAAACAAUCUGUUUAACACAUAUAUAUAGAGAGAUAUGAAAUUUUCGGUUUUUCGGUUUUUUGGUUUUUUCACGCUCAAACCUUAUUAUUAUGUAGUAGUAUUCGGCGAUGGUCGGUGAUGAUGAUGAUUAUUGAUGAUGAUAAUAAUAUUUGGCGUGUUUUCGAUGUUUGUGUGUGUGAUUACUACUAUUAAUUAAUUGUUGUUGUUGUUGUUGUUAUAAUAAAUAACGUAUAUAACGUAUAUAACGUAUGAAAUAUAUAUACUACGUACGCAUAUUUGUCUAUAUUAUAAGUACCACCCACGCGCACUUAUAGACAUCGUUUGAACACAAGGAAUUCUUUUUUUUUGUUCUUGUUGUUCUUGUUGGUUUGUCCUGGUCGUUUUCUAUAUUAAUAUUGGCGAGGCCGCGUCUAUAGAAAGAAACGAACGAACGAAAGAAACAGCUCUUAAAAUAAAUUGAACGAUUUUUCACUAAAUGAGUUCGCGUCGUGUCCUUUAUUCGAUUCCUCCGAGGGUGCUCUUUACCGAGUGUCCGAGGCGGCCGGUAUGUUCACUUUGAAAAAAUUAGUGUGCUCAGAGCGAGCUCCGUUAAGCUUGCAUACGAUAAGCAUGGAAUGAUAGAAAAGGGCCUCGUCCACGUGUCUGUCGGUCUCCGUUUACGACGAGGCAAUGAUCGAAGGGAGCGAUUCGGGGCCACUCGUAUUGCGACGUUAGAGGUGAAAUUCUUGGAUCGUCGCAAGACGUACUGCAGCGAUGGCGUGUGGCAAGGACGUUUUCCUCGAUCAAGAGCGAAAGUCGGAGGUUCGAAGACGAUCAGAUACCGUCGUAGUUCCGACUGUAAACGAUGCCGACUGGCGAUCCGCCGGCGUUAGCUUCGAUGACCCGGCGAGUAGCCUGCGGGAAACCAGAGCUGGUUCCGGGGGGAGUAUGGUUGCAAAAUCGAAACUUAAAGGAAUUGACGGAAGGGCACCACCAGGAGUGGAGCCUGCGGCUUAAUUUGACUCAACACGGGAAAACUCACCCGGUCCGGACACCGGUAGGAUUGACAGAUCGAUAGCUCUUUCUCGAUUCGAUGGAUGGUGGUGCAUGGCCGUUCUUAGUUGGUGGAGCGAUCCGUCUGGUUGAUUCCGAUAACGAACGAGACUCCAGCCUGCUAACUAGCGCGUCGAUUAGUGCUAGAUGUAAUAACGAUAACGAUGAAGAUGAGAUUUAAUAACGAUUAGAUGAAAUGCUGAUUUCUAUCAGACAUAAUUCUGUGUUUUUUGUGUUUUGUUUUUCUUUCUUUGUCAUGAUUUGUGUCGGCCAGUCGGUUAGCUGGCGCUUCUUAGAGGGACGGGUGGCGGAAAGCCACACGAGGCGGAGCGAUAACAGGUCUGUGAUGCCCUUAGAUGUCCGGGGCUGCACGCGCGCUACACUGGAGGUAUCAGCGGGGACUCAUCCCCUGGCCCGAGAGGGUUGGGAAACCUCUGAACCACCUUCCGUGAUAGGGAUCGGGGCUUGUAAGCAACCCCGUGAACGAGGAAUUCCCGGUAGGCGCGGGUCAUCAGCCCGCGUCGAUCACGUCCCUGCCCUUUGUACACACCGCCCGUCGCUACUACCGAUCGAACGGUCCGGUGAGGUCCUCGGAUCUGGCUGACAACGAUAACAUUGUCGAUGAUUUGUUGUUUUUAAUUAAUUUGAUGAUGAUUCCGAUGACGAUAAUAUUUAACUUCUUUCGAAGUUGUUUUAAUUGUUGUGUUUUAAUUGUGUUUUUGUGUUGGUUACUUUGCUUUUUGUUGACGUUGUCGUUUGAUGGCCCGGAGAAGACGACCGAACCCGAUCGUUUAGAGGAAGUAAAAGUCGUAACAAGGUUUCCGUAGGUGAACCUGCGGAAGGAUCAUUA
rnacentral:rRNA from 1 species